GAUCCAUCGAGUCGCAUCAAUUUUUUAAGAGUUGCUUCUGGUGUCCAGAAAGCGUUGUGGACGAAGGCCGACAGUGCUGCUGCUUCCAAUUCCAGCCACAAGGCGACGCCGGGUCGGAGAAAGGUGCUACGCCCAUGAACAGUUGCAAAGAGGCACGACGUGAAUCGUUCGACUGCCGCUAAACCACGUUUGUCUGAUCUCGUCUUUAUCAUCGCUGCUCUUCUCUGCCCUCGGCGAAAGCGCGCGGACUCCACCCCGAAGAGAUUACCGCAAAACAUGGUAGAAGAGCUCUUGCAUCGAGAAGGUAAAGCUCCUCGAUACUUGCUUGGGGACCGAAUUUUCCUGCCACUGAAUCAAACGCAUACUGACCAGCCAAAUUCUGUAAGUUGUCCACUGGCUUGUGAACCCUCCCUGCAAUUACUCUACAUAUCAGCAAGGCUUUUCUUAUA